AUAUACAGAUGAGUGGCUAUGAUAAUUCCACGUGUCAAGCAUCUAGUCUUUGGAGAGAAAGAUCUAGAGUAUAUCUAAGACCAUAUCUUGUCUGAACAUCAUCAUCUUCAUCCCUCAUCAUCUCAUCUUCUCUUUUCUUCUUUCUUCGACCACCAUGAGGUGAAUUAGUAUAGGGUUUUUCUGUGUUCUUCAUUCCAACAUCCACCCUCAAGGUGGACGGAAUUGUCAUGACCCCCAACUUGCCAAGAAUUUCCUUGUGAGAAACCCCAGAAAAGGGCUUGGUAAAUAGAUCGGCUAACUGAUUCUUGGAUGGAACGCAAGAUAGAGUUAUUAUCCUAGAUAGAAAUUGCUGACGCACAAAUUGACAGUCUAACUUGACGUGCUUUGUGCGUUCGUGAAAUACGAGAUCACGGGCAAUAUGGAUGGCAGCUUGACUAUCUGAGUGAAGCGGAAUAGGAAGGGUGACCAGAGCUGAAAGGUUUGCAAGCAGUCAAAUUAGCCAUGUAAUCUCAGCCGUCACGCGUCGCAUGGAUCGGUAUUUUGAUUCACCAGAUGACAAAGAAAUUGAGACCUGUUUUUUUGGCUUCCACUAGAUCGGAGCUCCGUCGAGGAUGAUUAAAAAACCACUCACCGAUCUUCGAGAGUCUUUGCACGAUGCCCAACCGGCAUCGCACAAUGUGAGCAAAGAAAAAGAGGGAUUUGAAGACAACAAGACCCCUUGUCCCGGAUCGUUGUGUAAAUAACGCAAAACCGGCAAAGCAAUAGAGAAAUGGACUAAGCAGGUAUUCUGCAUGUGUUGACUUAAACAACAAAUAGCAAAAGAGAGAUCUGGGCGAGUGUUGGUCAAAUAGUUCAACUUGCCAACCAACUGACAAUAAAUUAUGGGAUUUUCCAUGAGAGGACCAUGAUUGAUGAGUAGUUUCAAAGAGGGAUCCAAUAGAUAAGUGACCGGAGACAGAUGGGAUGCAUUGAAAUCCUCCAACAUAUCCAGUCUUGGUUCUAAGUCAUAAGCUUCAAGCAAACUCUUCUUUGAUUUGCUGGAUUCUUUUAGCGAGAGGCGCUAUAAUGAAGAGAUUUUACCAGGUUAUUCAAACUCCUUCAAGUUCUGGUUUAAGCUCUCCUGUGCCAAAUUCUUCUUCGUGUCCAGUUGUGCAUGACAAAGAUAAAGUGUUGGAUUUGGAUCUUCCUAAACCUGAUCCUGGUGAAAGAAAGCAAAUCUCACAAUAUUCUUAUAAUGAACAUGACCGAAUAAGGAGACAUUAUAUUCAAAAAGGACCAUGCCAACCUCGUGAUCAUACAUUCCCAAAGAAAGAAUUUGGUGGACUAAUGCAUCAAUUUAAUCCUGACUGGUUUCAUACUUCAUAUUCUGAAUGGUUAGAAUAUAGUGUUAAAGUUGAUGCCGGCUUUUGUUUAUGUUGAUACUUGUUUAAAAAUAAACAUGGAAGAGUUGGGGAUUCUUUUACAAAACGUGGUUUUAGAGCUUGGAAUAAAGGUAUAGAAAGGCUUAAUAGACAUAUUGGUGAUGUGAAUAGUCUUCACAAUCGGUGUUUCAAGAAGAUGAGAGACUUAAAGAAUCAAGAAAAAUUGAUUCUAACUUCUUUUGACAAGCAUAAUGAGAAAGAUAAAAAUAAUUAUCGAGUUCGGUUGAAUGCUUCGGUUGAUGUGACAAGAUUUCUUUUGAAACAAGGAAUGCCUUUCCGGGGCCACGAUGAAGGUGAAACUUCUACAAAAAGGGGAAAUUUUCUAGAACUUUUAAAAUGGUAUGCAAAUAGGCAUGAUGAAGUGAACAAAGUUGUACUAGAAAAUGCUCCACAAAAUAACAUGAUGAUUGCUCCAAGUAUCCAAAAGGAGAUCGUGAAUGCUUGUGCAAAAGAAACAAUGAAAGCAAUUGUUAAAGAUUUAAAUGGAGAUUACUUUGGCAUAUUGGUUGAUGAAUCUAAGGAUGUUUCUCAUAAGGAACAAAUGGCUCUUGUUCUUAGAUAUGUCAACAAAGAAGGCACACUUAUUGAACGAUUCCUUAGUGUUGUUCAUGUUCAAGAUACAACUGCAAUAGCAUUGAAAGAUGUUAUCUAUUCUUUGCUUUUAGAGUAUUCAUUGAGUCCAUCUCAAAUACGAGGACAAGGUUAUGAUGCAGCUAGUAACAUGCAAGGAAAAAAUUAAUGGUCUUAAAACUCUAGUUCUGGAAGACACUCCUUCAGCUUAUUGCAUACAUUGCUUUGCUCAUCAGUUGCAAUUGACUCUUGUAGCUGUUGCAAAGAAGCACUAUGAUGUAGAUCAAUUUUUUGAUAUUGUUGCUAAUGUAUUGAAUAUUGUUAGAGGUUAUUUUAAGCACAGGGAGAUUCUUCGAGAAGAUCAAGCAAAAAAACUAGAGGAAUUACUAGUGCUUGGUGAAGUUCAUACGGGAAGUGGACUAAAUAAAGAACUUGGGCUUCAAAGGCCAGGUGACACCCGUUGGGGAUCUCACUUUAAAAUAGUGUGUAAUUUUAUUGCAUUAUUCUCAUCAAUUGUUCAUGUGCUUGAAGUAAUUGGAAGUGAGAAUACAACUUAUCUAGAGAGAUCCAUGGCAAAAUGUCUAGUGAAUGAUAUAAGAUCUUUUGAGUUUGUCCAUAUGUU